UUUUCUUACAGUAGUGGAGGAAGCAAUUGAGGAAUAAAGAAAAUGGAGGGCCAUUGACCUUCCAGAUGUAGAUAUAGACCUCGCUGAAUGACCUCAUAAGUCCUAGUGCUCAGCCUUUGCCUAAAUUAUAUAUUCCAUUGUAUUCCAUGUGUAGAUAACCUUGUGAUCACAACAAAAUCAGAAGAGUUUGGUGGAUAAGGUGACUGGAUAUUAAUAUAUAGUAUUAGCAAAACCAAGUGGUUGGUGAGCAAAAAGGGAAGUACGUAAAGGAAGACUCAGUUUGGAGGUUGCCAUGUGGAUGCUGCCAUUCAUACAGGUGUAGGGACAUUUUCAACUGUACUUCAUAUCUGAAACAGAAGGUUUUACCAGAGCCUUAACAUGAAAAACACGGGUGAUAAAUCAUCUCAAAGUAAUCCUGCUGAGCAGUACAUACUUCUUGCCAAGCAGGCAAAGGGAGCAGGAGCAGUGCAACUUGUGAAGCAAGUUUUAGAAGCUCCUGAAGUGUACGUCUUUGGAGAACUCCUAGAUAUGCCCAACAUACAAGAAGUAA